rnacentral:lncRNA from 1 species
GCAAGAGUUCCAGAAGCAAUUUUACAGAAGUUGUUAUAACAAACCAUCAUCUUAUAAUCUAUAGUUUUGAUAGACUUUACAAAUAUAACCACAAAACAUUUAAUUUUGACGAAACAUGAUAGGAAUUUAUGAACUACAAAAAAAAAUACAAAGAAGAAAAGUAUAUGUAGUAGGGAAUUAUAUAGUAGGACAAGACUGGAGUGAAAUAAAAUGGGAAGCCAAAGAUACCUAAUAGAAUACACUAUAUGUUCUGAAUCUUUGUGUUUCCUAAUACAGAAUUUAAUAAAAAAAAAAACUAAAAAAAAAAACGCAUUUUCAUCAAAUACAAGGUCUCCCAUCACCAG